GUCCUAGAUCAAGGAAGAGUUCAGACUUAUCGACAGUUUCCUUGGAGGAGACAUUCAUGCUAAAGCUUGAUGAGAACACACCAGGUCUUCUGCAGCUUAUGCUGCUAAAUGAGGGGCUGCUGGUUCAAAGAUGCACCUUCUGCUGGACACUUUAAAUGACCCACAGAGCAUUGAGGAAAAAAGGGAUACAGUUGUCUGCUGCCUCAUUAACUACUUUAGUGAAAGACAAGAAGAUCUUUUCCAUGACUGCCAGGAAUGUGAGGACUACACAGACAAAACAAUGACGGUGAUCGUGAUGCACAACAUCAUGGCUGAGGAGGAUCCAUCAGAUUGUGAUUGAGGGAAACCAAGUGAUGGAAGGAUGUGGAAGCCGAACAAAGACAUGUGUACUGCUGAUGGGACUCAUAUUUGCCCUGAACCUGGACUAUCCAAAGCAGCUCAAGAACACAUUUGAAGCUUUUCAAAAACUUUUUUUGGAAAUUGAUGGGGCAAAACUACUGAAGAAGGUCCACAGUCUGAAGAACAAGCUCAAGGCAUACAUUUUCCGUCUUGUUCCAAGAGGAUCUUUUGUCUGGACAGAGUUUUAAGGUAGUAUAGCUUUUUUUAUUAGUGUUCUGUUCUGUCCUCUGCUCCACACACAGACACAGACAUAUAUGUGGAUACAUAAGUACGUUGCAGCCUCUCUCAGCCCACUCCAUUGUUCUCUGAUUUCUGAAAAUGGAAAAACAAUGUAAACUGGACAGUCUGGUCAUUAACACUGACUGAAUUCUGACAAAUUUAAAAAUCACCUCUUUCCCAAUUUCGUUGUUUCUGUUAUUGUCAUUCUACCUGAAUGAGUGCAACUAUAUUAACUGAAGACUGUUGUUUUUCUGAUCUGUUUUCAUCCACAUGUACACACGCAGAAAAAAAAAGUAUUACAGUUUGUGUGUGGGUUUUGAAGCUUUUGGAAUAGAAUAAGGGGACUCUUAAAGUUUGGUUGCAUUAAAUACUUAUCCAGAGACAACAUAUGUAGCCGUUAGCUCAGUGUGUUAUAAAAUGUGUUUUGAAAUGUCUAAAUGUUGUAGUUGUUGUACUGCACUUUAUUCAUUUAUUGUUAAUGUUGUG